AAAGGGGUUUGAUGAGAAAAGGGAGUCCUCUUCUCCGCUCUCUCGAUUUCGCCGGAGGGGGUAUCUGCUGGCGGCAUACCGGGACCGCUCUAAUAAAAUAAAAUCCCUGAGUCUAUUUUUCUGUUAACAAAAAAAUCCCUCGACGAGUUGUUAACAAAAAAUCCCUCGCCUCGUCGAGAUCGAGAAACGAAGCGAAGGUCCGGUCGGCUGCCUUCUCCGUCUUCCUGAGAAGGCCAUCUCCCAAAUCCCAACCCUAAUCCUACACCUCGCCCUCUCGCACGGGCGUCGGAUCGAAGGAAAGGGAAGGAGGAGGAGAAAACCCUAAUCCUAUAGUUUGAUCGCCUAUCGUGGAGGAGAGGGGAUGGGGAAGAAGAAGAAGAGAACGUCGAAAGUGUGGUGCUACUACUGCGACCGAGAAUUCGACGACGAGAAGAUCCUGGUGCAGCACCAGAAGGCGAAGCACUUCAAGUGCCAUGUCUGCCACAAGAAGCUCUCCACCGCCGGGGGGAUGGCCAUUCACGUCCUCCAGGUCCACAAGGAGACCGUCACCAAAGUUCCUAAUGCUAAACCAGGUAGAGAGUCAACAGAUAUUGAGAUUUUUGGAAUGCAAGGAAUUCCUCCUGAAAUCUUAGCAGCUCACUAUGGAGAAGAUGAGGAUGCCUCAGCAAAGGUGGCCAAAGUGGAAGUACCAUCUGCUAGCCUUGUCAGUGGUGUUAUACCUCGUGCUUUAGGUGUUGGAUUUCCACCAGCACCAACUUAUGGUGCGGUGCUACCAGUUUACAAUCCGGCAUUGCCAGUGCAGCCUCCAAGCUGGCCAAUUCCACCUCGGCCACAGUCUUGGUUUCCACCACAGCCACCACUUCCGGUUCCUCCUGCGCCGACAGUACUGUCAUCACAACAACCCUUGUUUCCUAUUCAGAAUGUAACUCCUCCUUUGACAUCCACUUCUGCUCCUGGACUUCAUUCAUCUUUGCAAGUUGGUCUACCUGGUCUGCCAUCAUCCACACCCCCUUCAGUAUCCCAACCAUUAUUUCCCAUCAGUAGUACUAGUAAUGUACCUGCCCAAAGUUCCCCUUUUUUGGCAAAUACACCACCUGCAUCAUUUGCAUCAAGCUCUCCAACAGUGUUCAAGGAAGCCACUGACACGAAUGCUGUAUCCGACACUCCUGGAACAAGUGGAUACCCUUCACAAAGCAAUCAAGGUGGUGCACCCUAUACAAAUUCACAUAUGUAUGCUUCUGGUCCUAACACAGGGGGGCCCUCCAUUGGCCCUCCACCUGUGAUAUCUAACAAAACUCCUGCCGCCUAUCCAGCUGCUAAGGAAGUCUACUUGGUUUGGGAUGAUGAGGCAAUGUCUAUGGAGGAAAGAAGAAUGUCUCUGCCAAAGUAUCAGGUGCAUGAUGAAACUAGCCAGGUAAGUUAUAACUGCCUUUUGUUUGUUCACUCUGAUAGAUGUGCAAACUGGUUUGCAGUGAUGGGUUGGCAAUUUAUUAUCUCUCCAGGGUUUUCUUUGGUACUGCUUUUAAGGUACUUCUGUGAUUUGAUUAUGCCAUUAUGGAUAGUAUAACCAGACAAUUAAAGCAUUGUCUCUGUAAAAUUAGGAGUAACCCUUUUCAUAUUAUUGUUUAAACGAUGUGAUUCAUGGGAAAUUUGUUUGAUCUUGAAUCCAUUCGCUUCUUUGCUUGCAACACUGCCGUUUAUUCAGGCAUCAAAAGGUUCAAGUAGGUAUUUCACAUUAUUUUUGCUUCUAGUUAAUAUUACAAAUCUGACAAGCUUGUGCUGCAAAUGACUCGAGGGUUCACUACCUAGCAAUGGUCCCAUGCGAAAAUAUGUAUGUAUUGUGCUUUAAUUGAAAUUUUUGUUGCUUAUUAUAGUAUUCAUUUCCCCCAUUGCUUUUUAACAAAUAUGGGGGUUUGGUUGGUACAAGAACAUUUGCCAGCAGGCUUUUGUCAAUUCGUAGCAUAUCUUGUUAUCUGUUUUUGAGCACAGUGUGCGACGAAAGUUUGGUACAGAUGAACUCCAUUGAUGCUGCCAUAGACAGAAGGAUAUCUGAAAGCAGGCUCGCUGGUCGUAUGGCAUUCUAGUACUUUUUCUGAAGCUGGAUGUCAGCCGGAUCCCAUCAAAUCAUUUCAAUUAUAGGAAAAAUCACUUCAAUCUUUUUCUUUCUUGGGAGGCAGUAGUCAUCAGAUAGCCUGGCGUUUUCUUUGCAAAAGUGGAAGGCUGCGGUCUUCUUGGUGUCAUUCUUUAGAGGCAUGUUGAGUGUUCAUGUAAUCUUUAUGCGCAUGGAGAGUUCUACAGUGAUUCUUUUUUAAGGAUAUGCUGUUAGCAUUAUAGGUUCUCUCCAUUGUGAGAAACUCUUGUUUUCUGUUAGGGAUCCUUCAUGCAUUUUCUUGACGGUGAUUUGAAUUUCAUAUGCUAUACACACUCAUUUGAACCACCA